CCGGGCGCCUCGCUUCCCGCUGGGUUUUCACCCUUCUUCCAUGGUGUAAAAUAAACUUUCCCCUUCUCCGUGUGCUCGCCUCACCCCAGCCCUUAAGACCCACGUAGCUCAGCGCAGGUGGGUUUGAAGUGCCCAGUGUUGCUUAAGGCUCUCCUUGCAAAAACAUCUUCAAGUUCCUUUGAGAGGGUUCGGGUUGUUCCCUGGAGUCUGUUUGGUAAGACUGGAAAGCAAACCAGCGGGAAGGUCAAACAAAUUCGCUGUGUGACCUGCUAAGCCACCUCCAAAUGUAAUUUGCAGCUCCUAUUAAGGUGAGGAGGUAAGAGAUGAUGGGGCCAAAGGGAUGCUGUUAAACCCAUUCCUCUCCUCCUGCUCCAACUGAAGUUGGAUCGCAUCCAGAUUUCAAUUUCUUAACUUUGGCACCUCUUCCGAGAAGUUGCACUGAACUUUGACCAACUGGAACUUCAUGUCUGCAUCGGAAUUCAUUUUAUUCAACCUCCCCCUCUUCACACACAGGAAAACAACAGGAUUGUGUGCACAGUAUAUUCACCCUUCCGUAGUCCUGGUCAGAUAAGAGCAAACCAGGUUUCAAACAAACCUGCCCAAGGUCAGAGACGUUCCUUCAUGUUUUACUAAACUCAAAUAAAUGGCAUAGAAGAUGCUGAAAACCAGGACAUGGCAUCUGGAAACAGAGAUGGAAGAGAGGACAAUAGCUCCAUCAGGAGUGUGAUGCUCAUCCUUCCAGCUGCUUCAGGUGUGCACUGGGUUUGCCUCUGAACUGAACCAGCUACCCUGUGCCUUCUGAUCAUGAUAUCAGAAAGAAAAUUGCAGGAGUCUCCUCUCUACUUCUCUCAGUUUAUUUUUCCUUGAUUAUGCUAUACCAGGGCAUUUAAUCUGAUGCUUCUUGCACCUUCUAUCACAGGUCAGUUCCGCUGAAGACGGAAGCGAAUGUCAGGAAAAUGUAAAAAGUAGCAUAUAUUGUUACCCCUCUAUAAGAGAAACUACCUGGGGACCAUACUCAGAUCUUCUAAAAAGCUGCCUAGAUGACUGUGGUGGACUUGUUUACUCUAACCUUGCAUCUGCCAUGUCUACCAUAGCUACAUAUCUCCUGUAACUUCAGCCCAGUGAAGUUAGAUGACCUAUGGCUGUAGGAUGCCAGACCUUCACUUCUUAUACAGUCAACACAGAGAUACAGAUAACUUACAUUCAGGCUACCUGCUACAGUUCUGUCAGAAGUGUUUUACCUCCCCUUCUCUGAAUUGCUCACUAAUUUAUGGGAUGUAGCUGUCAAUAACAACUCAA